UGUUGUCAGUAUUUUUGCAGCCUUUGGAGCUGUGAUUGUGCUAGUUGUUAUCAUAACUUUUAUUGUUAUGAAGCAGUCAAAAAGACGUGAUCAACAAAGACGAGAUGUCCUAUUCAAUGCAGCCAAUGAGCAGAUAAGUAGGAAUUCCGGACAGCUCAGAGGAAAUCCGGUAUAUAUUGUAGGAGAGAGAGAAACAGAAACAGUCGUUAACUGGACACAUAAUAAUUUGGAUGACAGUUCAGCUAACAACGAAAAUAAUGCACAAGGUUUUAUGCAAAAUUCUCAACCACCACCCUAUUCAGAAUGUAUUGCGUCUCACCAAUCUAGUAAACAACUGUCUGCACCAACUGACUCUGCAUAUCACCCACCGAAUUACUCAAUAACUUCACCACCAUUGUGAUAGAUUUCGAAUUUGCAAGCUCGGAUGACAACAAAAAGUUGAAGAUAUUACAUACACAUUAAUUAUAGACGCACAACGUGCAUUAUUUAUCUAAUAUUGUUUCCCGUUCCUGUGGAUGAAUUUUCAACUCAACACCUUGUAAUCAACAGUCAAUUACCUUUAUCGUAUAAUAACAAUUUAAGUUAUUGAUUUUUUACUCAUAAUAC